rnacentral:rRNA from 1 species
UUAAGCGACUAAGCGUACACGGUGGAUGCCCUGGCAGUCAGAGGCGAUGAAGGACGUGCUAAUCUGCGAUAAGCGUCGGUAAGGUGAUAUGAACCGUUAUAACCGGCGAUUUCCGAAUGGGGAAACCCAGUGUGUUUCGACACACUAUCAUUAACUGAAUCCAUAGGUUAAUGAGGCGAACCGGGGGAACUGAAACAUCUAAGUACCCCGAGGAAAAGAAAUCAACCGAGAUUCCCCCAGUAGCGGCGAGCGAACGGGGAGCAGCCCAGAGCCUGAAUCAGUGUGUGUGUUAGUGGAAGCGUCUGGAAAGGCGCGCGAUACAGGGUGACAGCCCCGUACACAAAAAUGCACAUGCUGUGAGCUCGAUGAGUAGGGCGGGACACGUGGUAUCCUGUCUGAAUAUGGGGGGACCAUCCUCCAAGGCUAAAUACUCCUGACUGACCGAUAGUGAACCAGUACCGUGAGGGAAAGGCGAAAAGAACCCCGGCGAGGGGAGUGAAAAAGAACCUGAAACCGUGUACGUACAAGCAGUGGGAGCACGCUUCGGCGUGUGACUGCGUACCUUUUGUAUAAUGGGUCAGCGACUUAUAUUCUGUAGCAAGGUUAACCGAAUAGGGGAGCCGAAGGGAAACCGAGUCUUAACUGGGCGUUAAGUUGCAGGGUAUAGACCCGAAACCCGGUGAUCUAGCCAUGGGCAGGUUGAAGGUUGGGUAACACUAACUGGAGGACCGAACCGACUAAUGUUGAAAAAUUAGCGGAUGACUUGUGGCUGGGGGUGAAAGGCCAAUCAAACCGGGAGAUAGCUGGUUCUCCCCGAAAGCUAUUUAGGUAGCGCCUCGUGAAUUCAUCUCCGGGGGUAGAGCACUGUUUCGGCAAGGGGGUCAUCCCGACUUACCAACCCGAUGCAAACUGCGAAUACCGGAGAAUGUUAUCACGGGAGACACACGGCGGGUGCUAACGUCCGUCGUGAAGAGGGAAACAACCCAGACCGCCAGCUAAGGUCCCAAAGUCAUGGUUAAGUGGGAAACGAUGUGGGAAGGCCCAGACAGCCAGGAUGUUGGCUUAGAAGCAGCCAUCAUUUAAAGAAAGCGUAAUAGCUCACUGGUCGAGUCGGCCUGCGCGGAAGAUGUAACGGGGCUAAACCAUGCACCGAAGCUGCGGCAGCGACGCUUAUGCGUUGUUGGGUAGGGGAGCGUUCUGUAAGCCUGCGAAGGUGUGCUGUGAGGCAUGCUGGAGGUAUCAGAAGUGCGAAUGCUGACAUAAGUAACGAUAAAGCGGGUGAAAAGCCCGCUCGCCGGAAGACCAAGGGUUCCUGUCCAACGUUAAUCGGGGCAGGGUGAGUCGACCCCUAAGGCGAGGCCGAAAGGCGUAGUCGAUGGGAAACAGGUUAAUAUUCCUGUACUUGGUGUUACUGCGAAGGGGGGACGGAGAAGGCUAUGUUGGCCGGGCGACGGUUGUCCCGGUUUAAGCGUGUAGGCUGGUUUUCCAGGCAAAUCCGGAAAAUCAAGGCUGAGGCGUGAUGACGAGGCACUACGGUGCUGAAGCAACAAAUGCCCUGCUUCCAGGAAAAGCCUCUAAGCAUCAGGUAACAUCAAAUCGUACCCCAAACCGACACAGGUGGUCAGGUAGAGAAUACCAAGGCGCUUGAGAGAACUCGGGUGAAGGAACUAGGCAAAAUGGUGCCGUAACUUCGGGAGAAGGCACGCUGAUAUGUAGGUGAAGUCCCUCGCGGAUGGAGCUGAAAUCAGUCGAAGAUACCAGCUGGCUGCAACUGUUUAUUAAAAACACAGCACUGUGCAAACACGAAAGUGGACGUAUACGGUGUGACGCCUGCCCGGUGCCGGAAGGUUAAUUGAUGGGGUCCAAGCGAAGCUCUUGAUCGAAGCCCCGGUAAACGGCGGCCGUAACUAUAACGGUCCUAAGGUAGCGAAAUUCCUUGUCGGGUAAGUUCCGACCUGCACGAAUGGCGUAAUGAUGGCCAGGCUGUCUCCACCCGAGACUCAGUGAAAUUGAACUCGCUGUGAAGAUGCAGUGUACCCGCGGCAAGACGGAAAGACCCCGUGAACCUUUACUAUAGCUUGACACUGAACAUUGAGCCUUGAUGUGUAGGAUAGGUGGGAGGCUUUGAAGUGUGGACGCCAGUCUGCAUGGAGCCGACCUUGAAAUACCACCCUUUAAUGUUUGAUGUUCUAACGUUGACCCGUAAUCCGGGUUGCGGACAGUGUCUGGUGGGUAGUUUGACUGGGGCGGUCUCCUCCUAAAGAGUAACGGAGGAGCACGAAGGUUGGCUAAUCCUGGUCGGACAUCAGGAGGUUAGUGCAAUGGCAUAAGCCAGCUUGACUGCGAGCGUGACGGCGCGAGCAGGUGCGAAAGCAGGUCAUAGUGAUCCGGUGGUUCUGAAUGGAAGGGCCAUCGCUCAACGGAUAAAAGGUACUCCGGGGAUAACAGGCUGAUACCGCCCAAGAGUUCAUAUCGACGGCGGUGUUUGGCACCUCGAUGUCGGCUCAUCACAUCCUGGGGCUGAAGUAGGUCCCAAGGGUAUGGCUGUUCGCCAUUUAAAGUGGUACGCGAGCUGGGUUUAGAACGUCGUGAGACAGUUCGGUCCCUAUCUGCCGUGGGCGCUGGAGAACUGAGGGGGGCUGCUCCUAGUACGAGAGGACCGGAGUGGACGCAUCACUGGUGUUCGGGUUGUCAUGCCAAUGGCACUGCCCGGUAGCUAAAUGCGGAAGAGAUAAGUGCUGAAAGCAUCUAAGCACGAAACUUGCCCCGAGAUGAGUUCUCCCUGACCCUUUAAGGGUCCUGAAGGAACGUUGAAGACGACGACGUUGAUAGGCCGGGUGUGUAAGCGCAGCGAUGCGUUGAGCUAACCGGUACUAAUGAACCGUGAGGCUUAACCUU